AGCGAACGCUGGCGGCAGGCCUAACACAUGCAAGUCGAACGAAGUCUUCGGACUUAGUGGCGGACGGGUGAGUAACACGUGGGAACGUACCUUUUGGUUCGGAACAACUCAGGGAAACUUGAGCUAAUACCGGAUGAGCCCUUAGGGGGAAAGAUUUAUCGCCGAAAGAGCGGCCCGCGUUAGAUUAGCUAGUUGGUGAGGUAAAGGCUCACCAAGGCUAAGAUCUAUAGCUGGUCUGAGAGGAUGAUCAGCCACACUGGGACUGAGACACGGCCCAGACUCCUACGGGAGGCAGCAGUGGGGAAUCUUGCGCAAUGGGCGAAAGCCUGACGCAGCCAUGCCGCGUGGAUGAUGAAGGUCUUAGGAUUGUAAAAUUCUUUUACCAGGGACGAUAAUGACGGUACCUGGAGAAAAAGCCCCGGCUAACUUCGUGCCAGCCGCCGCAGUAAAAC
rnacentral:rRNA from 1 species